GGAGGGAAAAAGGGCACACGGUAAGAAACAACUUAAGCAGAAUACAGACAAGAGGAAAAAAGAAGCCAAAUAAACCAAACCAAGAAUCUAAUUUAUCUUAUGCCACGCAAGUCCCCUCCAGAUUUAAAAGGGCAACCGCUCCCAGGAACACAGAGUUGAGAGGAAAGGAUUAACAUUUGGGUGAGGUGAGACACCUGGAAGAAGCCUGGAAAUACGUUUCCUGUUGUGGACUCCUGGACUCCUUAGAUUCAGCUGUCCAGACUACCUUACCUAAUACAACCAAAGAGAAGAAAAAAAUAUCUUUUAAGCACUCAGUUUCUAGAGUCUCUCUACAAUAAAAUUUCUACUUCAAUGAUUGGCUUGCCUGCAAAAGAAUUGGAGAUUUACAUUAAUAAAGACAAAGAUGACAUCACAUUACCAAACAAGAGCUGCGAGAAUUUGAUGAAAUCAAAUGCCUUGAAAAUGGCCAAUUAUGUUUGAUGAUCGCAACCAAGAAGUAAAUGUCAAUAGAUGUCACCAUCAAAUCAUGCUUUCCAUUUUGAAAUCGGUAAUAUUUAUUUUUUAUUUCUUAAUUUUGUCUUCUCUUUGAUAAAGUGUAAUAAAUGGAUAACUACAGUGGACAACAUGUGAGUCAUCUCUUUUUCACCCUUUUUCUAAUCUCAUUUUACUUUACAGAAUCGAAGGCUAUCAAUUUGGUUGGCAUCUCCGGUAAACUUG
rnacentral:lncRNA from 1 species